UUGAGUUAGUGUAGGGUAGGGCUUAUAGCUAAGAUUAGAGUAGAUUUCCAGGUAACCAGUGUAAAGCUAUGUGUGUGUCUGUGUGUCUGUGGGACACAAAACUGACGGCGAGACAGAGGGGCAUGAAGAAGAAAAGUGUGCCUGCUAAUUAUAAUCUUUCUCACAGCAACUAGCUUUCCCAUUUUUCUUAUUACAGAUAUUUUUGCACUCAAAUAGACGGGCGAUAUGGGAUCUGGAGGCUUCUGAACAGCGUGUGAGUAAAUAGCUUAUGACUGGGAUUGGAUUUAACAAGCUGAUGGGAGACAGAGGUGCAGACAUGAACCUCUGUAGGCCUCCAUCCAGCACACAGCCAUCAACUGCCUCAGGUGAUCAGGAGUAAAUAUUCAUCGAACUCCUCUCUCUGCCUGGGUGGAACAUGAAAUGGCAUCUCCAGCUGGAAGAGCGAGCGCUGUGUGGGCUUCCUGAAGUGGUGCAGCUCAGGGUCAGCGGAGAGCCACAGCGUGCUCGGGAGCAGAACAAUCUGUGUUAUUUUCAGCACAGCGUGUUGGAUGAAGGGCCCUUCUGCAGGCAUUAUGGAUUAUUCUGUGGCAGGAUCUCGCCAGGAUCAACCAAAAUGGGAUGUUUAACCUCACAUGUUCUCUCUUGUGAUAAACCAGGAUUGAGAGGAUUGAGUGUGACCCACAUCGGGACUGCUUUCCAAAUGUAUUACCUAACUUCUCAUGAAAAUGAAUGAAAAUAUUCUAUAUGCUGUGCACAUCUGAAAUACUGACUUCAAAGAAGUGUCACUAAAGCUGAGCUGGUCUACAGUUUAUUUAAAGUGAAUAAAUGUGUUUGCUUUGGGUUUAAAAAGUGACCUGAUGAACUAUCUAGUAAUAUUUGUCACUGACACUCAAAUAAAAGUUUAUAGUUGAAAG